rnacentral:rRNA from 1 species
AUUGAACGCUGGCGGCAGGCCUAACACAUGCAAGUCGAACGAGUGGCGGACGGGUGAGUAAUGUCUGGGAAACUGCCCGAUGGAGGGGGAUAACUACUGGAAACAGUAGCUAAUACCGCAUACCAUCGGAUUUGCCCAGAUGGGAUUAGCUAGUAGGGGGGGUAACGGCUCACCUAGGCGACGAUCCAUAGCGGGUCUGCGGGGAUGACAGGCAACACUGGAACGAGGACACGGUCCAGAUUCCUACGGGGGGCAGCAGUGGGGAAUAUUGCACAAUGGGCGCAAGCCUGAUGCAGCCAUGCCGCGUGUAUGAAGAAGGCCUUCGGGUUGUAAAGUACUUUCAGCGAGGAGGCGUUACUCGCAGAAGAAGCACCGGCUAACUCCGUGCCAGCAGCCGCGGUAAUU